UACGGAGGAUCCAAGCGUUAUCCGGAAUUACUGGGCGUAAAGCGUGCGCAGGCGGUUUUGUAAGCCAGAUGUGAAAGCCCCGGGCUUAACCUGGGAAUGGCAUUUGGGACUGCAAGGCUUGAGUGCGGCAGAGGAGACUGGAAUUCCUGGUGUAGCAGUGAAAUGCGUAGAUAUCAGGAGGAAUACCGAUGGCGAAGGCAGGUCUCUGGGCUGACACUGACGCUCAUGCACGAAAGCGUGGGGAGCAAACAGG
rnacentral:rRNA from 1 species